CUACUUACCUGAGAGACGAGAUACCAUGAUCGAGAGGGUGGUUCACUCAGCAUGAGGUUCGGCAGUUGCGCUCCAGUUUGCUGAUGCCCAGGAAUUCCCCAAAUGUGGGAAUUUUGUGUUGAAUCUCUUGAGU
rnacentral:snRNA from 1 species